UUAAUCCUCGCUGAAACUCGUAUCUUUUUACAUCUAAUGGAAUCGUUUGAACAGUUCCAGACGGAAUAACGGUCUCCCCCUAUUUUCCACCACGAUCGAGAAUCGAAUAUCUCGCGUCUCACACGGCGGACGCUUUCGAAAUUCCUCGAGUUCGACUUCCACCCCGAAAACCGACGUGUUUGAAUGGCUCGGUUCUCGGAAAGAGCCGUGGAAAAUCUAUGAUUUUUACAAAAGCAGGCCACGUAGCCUACGCGGUUGGAUCGUUCAUGAAUCAUUCAUAAUGCAUGAGAUAAUAGCCGACGAGCAGUUUCAAGUCGCUCCGUUGACGAAUGCGUCCGCAGCGGCUGUGCGUUUCCACGCGCGAGGCCGACAAAGAACGGACGUGUCCCGUCCCGUCUCGUCCCGUCUCGUCUCGUCUCGUCGCAUCGCGUUCGAAACGCGCGGCCACGGAUUCCUGGUGAAAUCGGUAAAUCACCGAAGGAAACGUGGCUUUUUGUACCAGCGACGGAUACCCCCUUUUCUUUCUUCCUACUCGAGGAAAAUGAAUUCUUUUGUGCGGCCGCGGAAAUAAUGCGCAUACUAAUUAUCGACUACUCGCCGACUCGGUAUGAAUAAUAUUGUUGUUCGAAUAACGAGGAACGGAUAGGAACAACGGAGCGAUACUUUGAUAAAGGAAGGUUCUUCUCGUUCAGCGGACAAUCGAGGGUUACAGUCGGCCGCAGAAGUCUUGGACCGAGUCUAGAGUAGAAGAAUUUCUUUUUCUUUCCUAUUUUGGAAAUCGAUCGUUUCGUAUGCGACGCCUUUGAAUAUAAUAUUUGGCUGGGAAAUAUUCGGGGAAGAGUAAUAUUUGAAUCGUUUGUUGUUGAUAUUUAUUAGAUCUUUGCGAUAUCUCGAAACGGGCAAGAUCAAAGCGAGUAAUUUAUGUUAAUUACACAGGUGAAAAGGAAGGAAAGGAAAGAGAGGAAAAGGACGCGUACGUGUAAAUUUUCCUCCGUCCCGUUUUCGAGGUGGUAGGCAAGUGGGCUGUCAACGCCAGCAGAUACCAGACCAAGCUGUUUUUAUUCUCGAAUCACCGUGAAAUGACGGAUUUCUUCCUUUUCAGCUAAUCGAGGACGGAUCGCAAAUAAAAGAGGGGCGAGGCGCGAUCGAUGAGUUCUUCACGCUCUGAUUGACGGUGUUCCAAAGCGUACAACGAAACUGCAUUUCGAGUAUUCGUGUCCGGAUCGUGUUUGCUUCGUGUCAUUCCGCGAUUUUUCAUUCGUAUUCGUUUCGAUAUUACGUCGAAACGGUACUUUCGAUCCCUCGUUGCAUUUUUUUAUUUCCAUCCAACAUCUUCCUCGCAAACCUUCAUUUCCCUCAACCUCCAAUGACAAGUAGUUUUCUUCUUAUUUGCAUCCUGAAUGCUCAACGCCGCUCCGCCGUGUCCAGCGAUGGGAUCGAGCUCGAAAUCCAUUCCGCGAUACUUUUCUCACACUUCUCUUCAUUUGUGAUGCAAGAUUCGACAGAUCCACGUCCGCUUUCGCGUUAAAACCUAUCGUUUCUUUUUCCUCUUUUUCUUUUCUUUCGCGAUUUAUAAAAGAUUCGAACCUGUUCCGAAUCCUAACUCCCGACGCGCGCUCGUUCCCAUCGCUACACGCGUCUUUCAAGCGGCUCGAUCGGUCUUGGUAACCAGAUCGCGUUUUACGAGAUUCGCCACGAUCGUUAUACGAACAAGUUAUCUAUCUGUCUCUGUUAGAAGCUCGAAAGUCCCAUCGAACGAAAAGCAAUUCUCGUUCGGUCGGAAAAGUCGUCAGGCAAUUACAGGAUAAUUUAUGCGAGUCGUUGGUGUACCUCUUCGCGGUUAAAAUGGCCGAUUAACUUGUCCAAGCUCGAAAAAGAUUUAUGUAAUACGCGUACACGAUUACGGUUUAUUUAAAACCGCGCGUCGCGCGUUCUAUUGCGUCUGGUCACGGUUAAAAACAUCGGUUUGAUAUCGGCCCCGGAGGAAUGUCGCAGUUAUUUUCGAUCCAAUUCCAGUUCAGUUCCUCGUUACGCGUGGAAGCGAUUCGAUUGCAAAUUGUAUCGGGUCGCAGUCAAUGGAACGUCAUCGGUUGAUUUACAUAAUCUGAUUUAUAGCCGCAAACUGACUCUUAUCUUUUGCCGCGAUCGAUUUUGCCCCAAAUCGAAUCAUCCUUCUGCUGUAUUUUAAGCCCACAAACCUCCAUAUCCCCGUAAUUAUUCCUUUAUCCUCUGUGCGACUCGGUAAAGAUAAUCAAGAAAAGGUUCUGAGAAUUAAAAAAAAAAAAAAAUGUGUCCAAAGUAUCGAUUUUUGGUAAUUUUAAUCUUUAUAUAUAUAUAUAUAUAUAUAUAUAUAUAUAUAUAUAUAUAUAUAUAUAUAUACGUUCGUCUGUAUAUCGUUAAUCGAUCGAUUACGUAACGAAUAUGUUACACCCUGUUUCCCCCGAGGGGUUAAUUUCGAACGACACUCGAGCCAUUCGAAGUCAAUGAGAAUCCGAUGCUCGUGAGACAGCUACGUGUCCGGCAUUCGAGUCACUUCCUCGACUCGAGUUUAGUAUUCCGUAGAAUUUUCACGUAACGCGUUUACUAUUCCGGUUUCUAACGGCGGGCAUGAAUUUUUUUUCCUCGAUCGAAACCGCCUGCCGUUCCCGACCUACUCGUCCGGUAGCUAAAAAUAGAAGCACGGUGAAUAAUAAUCUUCGAUGGGAAAUGAACGUUUUUCGAGAGUUAAUUAACGCCCGGACAACAGCGCGUCGCAUCGCGCUUGCCAUCUAUUGGAAGAAAAAGAUACUCCGGAAUAUAGCAAUUUACUUAUCUCCUCUACCCGACUCGACGCGAGUCUCCACUCGUAUUUCUCGCGCUAAUUAAACUCGUGGCCGUAAGGCGGUUAUAAAAUGUGUAUAAUCGCGGUUUUUCCUUCGAACGUAAAUUCGAGAAAUUGAAAUAGGAACGCCGAAGGCGAUCGAUCCUAACGAUUGCUUAAUUAAUUAACGAAAUUAAACGGAUUUGAAAGGCAAGUGUUUCGCGGUUCGUUACAACCGGCGUGUUUCCUCCGAUCCCAUAUAAUGACAGAUAAAGAAACACACCGCUAUCGUGCGGUAUCCAAUUUCAAUUACCGAGUAGCACUUAAUACUUUGCUUACGUGUAAUAAAGCCACGAUGCCGGGGGGGAAAGUAUAAAUAUACUUGGGACUAAAGUGAUACCGGCGGGCAAGCGGUUUCGUCAGUUUAUUUAUUCCCAGGUCAAGGGAACGCCAUUUCUUAAACACGAAGGUCAAGAAGUCAAUGAGAUCCGGUUGCUCAGGUAUGUAACCACGCAAGUGGCCGAAGUCCUACGGGCGUAUUCGCACAAUUUCGUUCCUCGUAAUUUUCCAUCGAAUAUUUCGCUUCCAGAGUCUAAUCUAAUUAUCGUCCAACAAACGACGUUCAUCGCUCAUCGUAUCGCUUCGCAUUCGUCAACUUCGUCCUGUUAUACGCAUAUCGUUAUAUCCGUUGUACGCGCUGGGUGUACCCGCGAGGUGGUGGGAUUACCGCAUUGGCGAGUUAUGCGUUGUUGUUUCGCGUUAUUGCAAAGGGACGAAGAUAAGCAUCUGAAAUUCCAAAGUUUUAUCUCACGAUGGCGCUUAAUUAUCGCCAUCGUGAAAUAGUUGACGGUGCUCUCACUCGUCGAAAAAUAAUAAUUUUGAAAAGAAAAAGAGUGAUGCCCUCGAAAAGGAAAUUCCAUUCAAUCAACGUGUAUCUCGUUAUAAGCAUUAAUUAUGGAACACCUUGUACAUUCGUGUAUUUCAUCAUGUUACACCACGACGUCUUACACGCUAUUUAACGCUUUAAUUGCAUCUAUAAUUAUUAUUACCACAUCAUUUCCUAUUCCUCCUCGUUAUUUCGUUUCGCAUUCGGUCGACGGUUAAACGGGACAUCCGGCACAAGGAACAAUUCCAAGGAUCGCGCUAAAAGCUCUCGCAAAUUAUGCAUUUCUUCCACGUUUCCCGUUACUUUUAUGUUCAUCCUCUCGAUCACGCCUCCGCUCUUAGCCGUACGGGAAAUCAUGGUUACCAACUCGGCCGACCUAUCUAAAAUCUUUAUCACGACGGGAUUUCACGCGCAAUGAGGCGCGCUCCGUUACGCUUUGCGUUUUCGAUUAUCACGCUCGCAUCUCUUCGCAUUCUCCACUUCAUCCACGCGCACUUCUCUCGCUUCUUACUUUAUACUAGAACACAGCGGCUUCCAAAAAAGCUUUUUCGUUUCGCACGGUGCGUAUCCCGCCGAAUUCUAUUAAAUUUUUCGAACGAGAAAAUUUUGAAAUUUUUUCAAAUUUUAUUUAGUUAAUCAAACAGAAAGAUGAACGAAUUUAUUUGUAUGAUAAUAUCUGUGCGAAUUGUAUACAUUUUACGCAAUUUUAAUUGGCAACUUUAUAUGAAAAAAAUAGAAUGAAAUCAUAGAUGAGAGUUUAUAUACGAUAAUUUCGAGAUAAGGAAUUAAUAAAUGUUUAAUAGGUACACGAGUACUCAUUAACGUAAUUGUACUUGAUCGUUUCGUCAUUAUCGAUCGAUGUGUCAUACUUGCAUUGGAAAAUAAUAAAAUCUGUAUAAUAAAAUUUUGAAAUAUAUUAUUUAAUUAUAUUCUAAAAUAAAUUAUAAAUUAUAAAACUUUAGAAUAACAAAUUGCAAAACUUUUUCUUUAUCUUCGUAUUCGAUCCCAAAUUCUUUCAUUUCCUUUUAAACCUGAUAAACUUUGUUCGAAUACUUCAAGAUUCAUAAACAUAACCACGAGAUGAUUUGGUCCGCGAAAUUGUGCUCAAGUGCACGCGUGCCUAACAUAUUUAUAUCAAAGAAUCUUUUGUAGAUAAAAACUCUUACGAAAAUUACCAUUCAUUUUAAUAUACCUACGUAAAAUAGAGAUUCCUUCGUUUAAAAAAACUUUAGAAAUUUUAUCUUAACAUCGAGCAAAUUAUUCGAAAUCAGUUUAACUGAUUUACUGAAUUUUUUUGGAUCUACAAAAUUAUUUCUUGUCGAUUAUUAAAAAUGAACUGUAUAAAUAACUGUAAAAGUGAAUUUUCAAACUUCGUCGGUAAUGUAUAACAUACGAUAUCAAGAGCUACCCCAUGAAUCGGAAAUCUCGCAGAGCCUCCUCGAACGCAAUUUUGCCGGGACGUCUCGAGGGACUCGUAUCAGAAGCAUAGCGCAUAAUAAAGGGCUCCCUCGCUUGUCUGUGUCCGUAGCGCCGGACAUCGGGUGGGUUCUUGUCCCAGCGGCCGGUAACGAGACGCCGCAGUAACUAGAGAGUCACGAGGAGUGAGAACAAGUCGACGAACUGGCGGUCGGAAGAAGAUCGCAAGAGUGUGGUAGAAUCGUGUGCACGUGUGCGCGCGUGCACAUAGAAUCAAGAAGGCAAAAGAGUCUCGGCACUGGGCACCUAGCCGUGUAUACACGCAUACAGGGUGUUCUACGCAGAGCGAGAAACACUCUUCGCUCCCUUGCACCAUCCAUCCUGAGACACCUUGUACGCGCAUACAUACUACGUACGUACAGCGGUACAUAUAGAAAAGCGUAGCCGGAAUCAUGGUGUACAGGUUGGCGGUGCACGGUGCCGCGCGAGCUCGUGAACCAUGAGCAUGCUCGGGGACACGGUGGUUGUCGCCAGUGAUGGUGGUAGUGAAGCUGUGUGGUGGUAGUAGCCGUGAUGGCUAGUGGCUGGCGCCGCCAGACGUUCAACAAUGGUCGUGUCUCCCUUCCCCUUUCCCGCGCGCACAGUCGCUCGGUUCUUUCCAGCCCCUCCACCCGCGCCUAGAGCCCUUAGAGCGCAGCCCCUCUCCCCACCGCUCCGUCGCACCUAUGUCUUUACCCCCUCCCCUCGAGCGCCGCCGCCACCCGUGUCCCGCUCGCCGUGGGCAGCUUUAGCUUUAGCUUUAGCGGCGUCGCCCUUCUCUUCCACGCCCGGCUUGUCCCGCCGACGCCUCUGCUCCCAUGGUCGUCAAACACCCCCGACUACGGUCGGCUUCGAGCCGAACGAUUUUCGCUGGAACAAGCUGUACAGCCCUCCAGGGAGAAGAGGUGGCGGAGAUAGCGAGCGGGAAUUCCUGGCGGCGUUCCUCGUCGCGCCUUUCCGCGAAUUAUUCUUCGCCCCGACUCGUGAUACGUGUUACCUGCCUGCCCCGAUUUUCUUUCCUUUUUCUUUUUAGUCCUGAUUCAUCCUUUUUCCCCCCAUCUUUCUUCCUUCCUUUCUUUCUUUCUUUCUUUCUAGGUGGUUGGGAUUUGUGAAUGGAGGAAAGGGGAUGCUCUUGGAGGGGGGCAUGCAGGCGUCGUUUGGAAGAACGGCGAGGUCGAUGAUUUGAGAUUGUGCUAUUGCAUGCAUAAAGUUUGGUAGCGAAUUCUUAUGAAAUGUUGCAUCUAUCCGGUAUACAAUGAUUGCGAAAAGAUAAUUAUAAGUUGCAAAGCUUGUAUGAUGUAGGAAAUACGUAUGCAAUUAUUUAUUCCUUGGUAAUAUAAUUCUUGGAAAAGUAAAACUAAAUAAAAUUAAUAAUGAAAAAAGAAUAAAAAUGACGAAGAAAUAUUUGUUUUGCUGUAUAAUAGCAAUCGUUUCUUUAUUUAUUUAGUAAUAAUGAUUAUAUUUGUAAUUAUUAUAAUAUCCUAAUAUUAAGUGUAUAAAAAACUGUCAAUAUUUUUUUAUGUUACUAAAGACUAACAUAUAAAAUUAAAGUAAAAUAUAAAGUGAUUUAAUAAGUAUUAAAGACAAAAUACUGAACAAAUAUCAAUUUUAAUUUUAUUCUUCGAAAUAUCAUUUUUCCAAAGAAAUCGAUAUAAGUUCACAUGUACCGACAAAUAACCAUGCAAUCGAAUACAAACAAGAUUAUCGUCGAUUAUAUUAUCUGAGAUCGCAAAUAUCGGAUACUUUUCUGAGUAAAAAAGAAGAAAAAGAAAAAGUAAAAAAAAAAAAAAAAGAAAUUGCUAAUACAUAAAUAUUUACUAAAGUCCAUAUAUAAAUAGGUCGAUAACAAUCCGUUUCGUGAGCGAUUCGAGUCCAACGCUAUUUUAUUCAGGUGCGAUUGCGCUGCAUUGGGUAGUGGAGGCGUCACGGGUAGAACGGUGUCGGGGGUGGGGGAGCUUUAAAAGCGUGCAGUGAGGGGCGGAGACCAGUUGACUUCGAUCCGUCGAGCGUAACGUGUUGUGAGGAGUACGUAAGACACUUCUGUGCACUCGUUGCGUUCGAAAAUAGUCAUCAGACAAUUUCUCUUCUCGUAUAAUCAAUUCAUUCAAUGUAAUGUUCCAUGCGAAUGUAAUCAACUCGCGAUAAAAACUAUAAAAACUGUGUGUGACAUUUGUGUUGUAAAACAUAAUAUUUAAUAAAGAAAAAAAAAAGAAAAAACGAUAUUCAAAAGUGAACAGAAACGAAAAGAAAAACGAAAUAUCUCGAUCGUACGAAUCUCUAUCGCUAAGCUCGUGCGCUCACUUUGGUGGGUUGGUUCGAUCGAUAAAUACACGGGGUGCGUGCACUGGCGUUCGGCAAAUAAUCAGCCGUACGUUUUAGAAGGUGUGCUUGCUUGAUCGAAUUAAUCAUCGACCCAUAUCUUUUUCAAUCUGCUGCUUGAGCCGGUGUCCAGCAAACAAAUUCUCGCACGUCGACGUCGAGCAGAAGAAUCGAGUCGAGUGGAAAAAUACGUACAGAUACACGCCAACAUGAAAGCGAUGGUGGUGAGCCCGGUGGGCGGCAGAGUACCGCCAAGUCGUGGUGUCCUGCAUAAUAGUCUCGGAAUCAACGGAACUCGUCGUGACCUGGAAGCAGAAGAAGUAGCUGCUUACUUAACAAAGUUGAGAUCUCUGGUGCCCGACAUGCCGAGGAAACGGAAAUUAUCGAAGCUCGAGGUUAUCCAAAGGGUUAUCGAAUAUAUCUGUGAUCUUCAAACAACUCUCGAAGAGACGAAUGUGCAUAAUGAAUCGACUGUGGCAAAAACGGCAUCAAGACAGCCGUUACAACCGUUGUUGAACGCGACCACGACUGUCCCAACGACAACAACAACAUCGACGACGACAACGAUAACCGGAAUGGUCGCGGAACGGUGACCUGUGUCAGCGAACGAGUUACAGUGAGGUCCAGGUCGCUGCAAGCUUCUCGUCCUCGUGGGCUGACGACUUGACCUCCAUGUUUCGGCGUCGUGGAACUAUUCGAGUCUUCUUCGGGGAGUUAAAUCGAGAAUUCGGCUUGUGUGGUAACGUUUUGGCGUAUGGAUGUUGCCUUAACCAUGUUUUGUGCUCGUCCUCCACUGUAUAGAGAUUUCUUGAAGAUUCAAAGGGCAAAAAACAGGGAUAAGAUCUUGUGUUUGAGUAUCAAGGGAAAAAAACAAAAUAUUUUAAGCGUUUCGAGAAAAGAGCGACCUAACCUAACAUCGAAAAGGAUGCGCUCGAAGUAUCGAGGCGGCGCCUGAGAGAAGAGCGAAGAACGAUGCGAAAGAAGGACGACGAAGCGGGCCGAUUACGGCCGAUCUAACUUCUUUCUUCGAGGAAAGAUGUAAAUACUUGUACAUAAAACUCAUCGCAUUCCUCGCACGAUCUUUCUUCUCAUCUUCAAUCGAUUCGCUUCUUUUAGUCCAUCCAACUUUCCGCUUCCAACCCCGAGAUUCUUGUAAUCUUUUCCUAAUCCGAGCUGUGUUAUACAUGUAAACGACGAUCGCAUUAUCUCUUUUCACCGAUGAUUAUCUUAUUAUAUUAUUUUAUAUCCAAACAAUCACGAAGAUUGUGUCAUUCACCGAUUUAUUUUUGUAACUUUGUAAUUUAUCGUUUCGAUACAAAAUUCCGGAUUGAUGAUCAAUUCGAUUUGAAAUUUAGAAAAUGUUUAUCUAUUAAAUUUUCGUCUCAGAUAUUUACUCGAAGAUCGACGAUAAUUAAAAUCGAAUUGAUCAUGUUUCUAAUUGUAAGCAUACAACCCUCGUUCACAACUGGUCGUGAAUGGAUUUCCCCCUCCUUUUCUUCGAUAGUUUUCGCGUGGAAGAGAAAUGUUUAUCAUCACGUUGAUCAGAGUUCGUAUUAUUUCAACUCCCCCUUGUAGAUAAUAAAGCGAAUUAUUUGUAUUACUGAUCGAUUAAUCAUCGAUAUUCUAUAUUAUUAUUAUAAUAUUACAUGAUUAUUAUUAUUAUUAUUGUUAUUGCUUUUCAUAUUAUAAUUUAGAGAUUUCUCCAUAACUAUUGUAUAUUUGCGAAGACUGAAAGGCUGUAAAAUAUAAGUAUACUUGAUACAUGAGUUUGCUACACUCGCUCAUGUACGAAAAUAAAAUACAAACUGUGUCCAUGCAA